rnacentral:lncRNA from 1 species
AAAAUGUAAAGAAAACACACUUUCUUCUUAGGGGAUGGGAGAGAAUUUAAUACAUUCACCAAAUUAAAUGAAAGGACAAGAAUGUACUGUCAACACAAGACAAUUUAGAAUCAUAAACAAAAUGUGAGGUAGACUGACUAGUGAAAUUCACCAAAUUUUGGUUAAGAAACUUUACAGUAAUAAAGUAACACAGGUGCCUCCUUUUCUAAAAAUCACAAGAAGCAAUUGCAUAAAUUACAACCCAAAAAACUGAAUACAGCAGUUCUCAUUGUAAGUUUACAUUCAGUAUUAACCUGUGUGAACCCUCACAUAUGGCAGGGUUUAACAGGUCUAUAGGUCAGUUAUUCUGCAGGCCAAGUGAACACAUUCCCACCAUGAUAUUCUAAGGGCUGGCGAGGCUUGAAGUGGAACACACCAGGGGUUGUAUUAACCAAAUCAUGGUGGUCUGUGCUUGUGCAAUUUUAUCCUUAAAGGAGAAUGACCUAACAUUCUCUAAAGAAUUAUACUGAUAAGGUGAUUUUAAAAGAUCCAAGCCUUGGUAAGACAGACACUGAAAAGAAUAGGCAGGUCAGUUUAAAUUCUCCAUCAUCAGGGUGAUGGUCUUUUGGCUUUAUUCUGGCAUUUCUCUUCCACAGAGUUACAGAAUUUAAGAGAUCAUAAUCAUCUGAUUUUUUCCGAGUGUAGUGCUAAUAAAUAUGGAGUCUCCACAGCUCAAAUAAGUACUUAAAGUUUUUUUCCUUAGACUGAAGCCAUAAAGCCAGAAGAAACCCUGAGAGGCCAUCUGCCCCAGGAACAGCUGUUUAAGGAUUAUUUCAAGUAUUUUAUU